CAGGCAGCAUUGCCGCCAUCACAGUGACGGUCAUUGCCGUGGUGUUGCUGGUGUUCGGCGUCGCAGCCUAUCUGAAGAUCAGGCAUUCCUCCUACGGAAGACUUCUGGAUGACCAUGACUACGGCUCCUGGGGAAACUACAACAACCCCCUGUACGACGACUCCUAACGAAGGCAGGGGCCUGGGGGAUGAGGAACAACUGUCCUUUAUUUAUAAGUGCUUAUCCAGUAGAAUUAAUAACAAGUACCUGAUGCGCAUUGAA